GAUGAACGCUGGCGGCGCGCCUAACACAUGCAAGUCGAACGAUUAAAGCACCUUCGGGUGUGUAUAAAGUGGCGAACGGCUGAGUAACACGUGGGCAACCUGCCCCUUUCAUUGGGAUAGCCACGGGAAACCGUGGAUAAUACCGAAUACUUCGAGACUUCCGCAUGGAAGACUCGAGAAAGCUCCGGCGGCGAGGGAUGGGCCCGCGGCCUGUUAGCUUGUUGGUGGGGUAACGGCCUACCAAGGCAAUGAUGGGUAGCUGGGUUGAGAGAGCGACCAGCCAGAUUGGGACUGAGACACGGCCCAGACUCCUACGGGAGGCAGCAGUGGGGAAUCUUGCACAAUGGGCGAAAGCCUGAUGCAGCGACGCCGCGUGCGGGAUGAAGGCCUUCGGGUUGUAAACCGCUUUCAGCAGGGACGAGGCGAAAGUGACGGUACCUGCAGAAGAAGCCCCGGCUAACUACGUG
rnacentral:rRNA from 1 species